AUUAAACUAUACACGCAUAACUACACAUGGGUGUUAAAUAGAAACUGUGAACACCUCAUUAAGUCAGUUAUGCUUCCUUUGGCCACUCCACUGUGCUAAUUCUAGAGCUAAUAGAUGUCAAUGAACAUCUAGAACUUUCUGAACCCCUCCUGGGCUGUGCAUAACCAUGGUGACCAAUGGGGGAAUGAGGAAUUGGGUUUAAUUCUGGAGAGGAAGCCUGAGAGAUGGCUGCCAUAUCCAAGGAAGGCAGUGAUG
rnacentral:rRNA from 1 species